rnacentral:lncRNA from 1 species
AUCGAAUUUAUUCGUUUAUAGUGUAUUAAUGUACGUUUUUUGAUUGAGUUAAGCCUGCCAAUUGAUAUUUUACCGUGUGUUUUUCUAUGUUGUGAUGUUAUGCUAUUGUUUCAGAAAAAGGGAGAAGGUUUGGAUCCAUUAAAACGUUUAAUCCUGCUGCAAAUGUUUGCACCUGUUCUAAGUCAGGAAUCUGAUGUACAGUAGUUGUCGUUUGUUUAUGUAAUUUAUACGUGUUUCUCGUUUCUCGUUUUUUUAAAUAUAUAUUAAACCGUUGGUUUUCCCGUUUGAAUGGUUUUACACUAGUAAUUUUGGG